GACGAACGCUGGCGGCGUGCUUAACACAUGCAAGUCGAACGGAAAGGCCCUGCUUUUGUGGGGUGCUCGAGUGGCGAACGGGUGAGUAACACGUGAGUAACCUGCCCUUGACUUUGGGAUAACUUCAGGAAACUGGGGCUAAUACCGGAUAGGAGCUCCUGCUGCAUGGUGGGGGUUGGAAAGUUUCGGCGGUUGGGGAUGGACUCGCGGCUUAUCAGCUUGUUGGUGGGGUAGUGGCUUACCAAGGCUUUGACGGGUAGCCGGCCUGAGCGGGUGACCGGCAACAUUGGGACUGCGCUGCGGCCCGGACUCCUACGGGAGGCAGCAGUGGGGAAUAUUGCACAAUGGGCGGCAGCAUGAUGCAGCAACGCCGCGUGCGGGAUGACGGCCUUCGGGUUGUAAACCGCUUUCGCCUGUGACGAAGCGUGAGUGACGGUAAUGGGUAAAGAAGCACCGGCUAACUACGUG
rnacentral:rRNA from 1 species